rnacentral:rRNA from 1 species
UACGGAGGGGGCUAGCGUUGUUCGGAAUUACUGGGCGUAAAGCGCACGUAGGCGGCUUUGUAAGUUAGAGGUGAAAGCCCAGAGCUCAACUCUGGAACUGCCUUUAAGACUGCAUCGCUUGAAUCAUGGAGAGGUUAGUGGAAUUCCGAGUGUAGAGGUGAAAUUCGUAGAUAUUCGGAAGAACACCAGUGGCGAAGGCGACUAACUGGACAUGUAUUGACGCUGAGGUGCGGAAGCGUGGGGAGCAAACAGG